UACAGUGACAUUUCAGAAUGUACUUUUGACGUGGUAGUCAUCCCUCUGUCAUACAUAUCGGAUAAUACUGCACAGGUGGUUAACGUGCAGCGAUGUGAUACAGAUAAGUAUUCAAUUUUAUCAAUUAAUUGUUGAUGUACGUUUUGGUAUAACGUAUCACGUAAUGGCGAUCUGUUUAUGUACUGGAUUUGAUGUCCAUCUCCGAUGAGUAUUACUUCUUUUACUUUCGAUUUUGCAAUAGCUAAAAUGAUUUCACCGAAAUGUACCAACAUAGCUUCGUCGAUGAUAAGUCGUUUAUAUUGUUGAUCGCUACUAUGCAUUAAAUACGAAUCGAUGGUGCGGUAGUUUUUAACUACAUCUUGAUCUUCUAUGUCUAGGUUGCGUAAUUUACAUAAACGAGUACGAAAAUCUUUACAUCCUUCCUUCGUUGGAAAUAGUACCAAAUCUGAUCCAUCAGUGUUUACGUGUUUGAGUACAAAUCCAGGUCACUUAAUAUUUUGGUAUCUUUGGUAACAAUAAGCAUAUCUGAAGAUAAAUUCGAAGCAUCUUCCACCUCAGAAGUUUGAAUCAAUUUGUUUCCAUCAUGUGCAUACUUGUGAUCAGGAACUACAUCUUUUGGCAAUUUCGUAUGGAUAGCCUUAGUUCUAUGAUGAAUUGACAUAUAGGUGUGGUACCAGAUUGCAAGCUGUUCCUUCGCAGCGUUGUACGCAAUUUCCUCUUUCGAAAUAGCUUCAAUUUUUGGUGGUCGGAAAUCGAUUACAAUGGAAUCAAGGUGUGUAUCAUUAGGUGAUGCUGAUUUUUCUGAAUUUGUUUGAUCCGUGGUGAUUAUUUUUUCAGGUGCCAACAUCGAGGUGUUUUCCGUACGGUCAAGUAGAUCAGUUUCAUCGAAUACUGUAUUACGUAAAACUUCGGACUUCUCCAACUCAUUAGCAAUAACAUUUUUAAUGUUGUUUAGCUUGUGUUGGGCAGCUUCUUCCGUUUCAUCUAGUGUUGGGGGAGGCGGUAUUUCCUCUGGCAUUUUGAUUUUACGGUUAUCCAACGGAGGAGAUUUAGCACUUUUCGGGUGGCUGUCUAACACAAUGUUUACGAACGUUUCGAUGAAUCUUUCUUUCAUUGCAUUAUUUGGUAAAUAGUUGCCAGCAUUAUUUGCAUAAAAUUUCUUAAAAUCAGGUACUACAUUAUGGUGGCGGUCUUCCUUUAUUACAUACUGGGACUUAAUUUUAGGAUGAGGUUUUAAACAGGUGAAUAUCAGCGAUGGUUCAAUCACUAAGCGGAGGUUGUGUUUUUUUGAUAAAGCAUAGAAGAUUCUUUGAAAAGCAUACCAUCGAGUGACUGGAACAUGGUUACGUUGAUCCUUCGUAGGUAAUACUAGCGGGAAAGCUAAGAUUAUGUCCUCGAAUCCUUUUUCAAUCAAUUCUAAGAUAAUUGCAUCAGCAUAUUUAAUGAAUUGUUGGUAGUCAACGUAGUUACUGUUAAGUUCUUUUUGACCGAAAGAUAUAACGGCGUGAUAACGGUGUUUGAAUCGUGUUUUACGUAAUGCUUGGAGUAAGCUAUAUGCAGAUACAUUAUCAAUUAGACAUAGUCGGUCAGUUUCGCAGUUUGCUAUGUCGAACAGAUAAGAGGCCAAAGUGUCACCUAUCAUUUGGUAUUCAGUAAUCGGAAACUUUGACCUAUAUACUUCGACGGAGUUUAAAUAUUCAACAACGGUUCCGCCUCCUCCUCGUCUUCGUCUGGAGGUAUUGAAAUCUCUAGACCAUCCUCGUUUUUUGAAUCCUCAUCUUGUUGUUGCGUGAAAUCCACUAGGAUGUUGUUCAAUGCUCCUGCAUAUAAUGCUUGUAAUUGUUCUUGAGUUAAAGAAUUCAAAAGUGGUUGUUGUUUCUGAUAGUUUCCACGUUGGCCAGAUGAAGUGCCUGCCCCAGCGUUCGUAUCCUGUGUUGAAGUUCCAUUGUUUUGUUUUCCUUUCCCACUAUUUUCUAGGCUCUGGUUUAAAUUUCUACCUCUCGGGUUGUUGCGACCAUUAUUUUGGUACCGGCCAGCUGGGGUAGAUUGAAAAGGUGUGGCGUUGGGCCUCGGGGUACUAUUCAUCGGUACAGAGCGUUUCGUGAGCUCCUUAAUUCGUGCACCUAAAUUCUGGAUGUUUUUAGUUACGCCCAAAUCAAAAUGAUGUUUCAUAUCAUCAUCUAUUUUCAAUUGAAUAGUAGAAAUUAUAGUACAAUCGGGAAAUUCUGCAUCACAUAAUGUUUUGAACCAUUUUUGUAAUUCAAAAGCCCAUUUAAUUGAAUUUACUUUCGUAAGUUGUGUCAUGAUGAAGUACAUCUUGGCAUUCUCUUGUUGAGUAGUAUUCCAUAAUGUUUGAAUGAAUGAUGUUCUUAAAUUGUAAUAAGUCUUGAUCUCACCGUUAAGGCCCAUUAAGCUUUCCUUCCAAUUUUUUCCUGCAUCGCUUAGUACUAAUGCCUUGAAAAAUUCAACGUAUUGAGCUUCGGAAGCUCCUUUAGUAGACAUGGCUCCUUCGAACUCAUAAAUAAAUUGCAUAACAUGAUAAAGGUUUGAAUUAAUAUGUUUGAUGCCUUGAUCCGAAAGUUGUUUUGUCUUGAUGUAAUUAUUGGGUUCUUUGGAAAAAUAUAAGUCAUAUCUGAGUAUCCGUUGUCUACGUGGUACAUUGAUGGGUAUAUAUUGGUGUCGAUUUCCUAAUUGGAAAGGUACCACAAUUUCAUUUCCUUUCUCGUCACGAGGGGGAAAAUCCUCUAAUUGAUCGUCAACGGCAUUAGUUGGAUCACAUGUUAACAUGGUUUGUCCGGUUAUCAUCCCCGUCAUGUUGGUGUUCAUAGCGGUAUAAUUUGGUGGUGGAUAUUGCGUAAAAUUUGGCUGAGGAUGAUCCGAAGUUUGGUUUACGGAAUGAGAAUUAGAUUGUGGUCCAUUGGUAGAGCCUACAUUGAAUUGAACGUGUGGGGUUGCUUGCCCCAUUUGUUGAUUAUUAGUCGUUUGUUGUACAUGGUGUGAUUGUACAUUCCUUUGAUCUGACAUCUGUUGAUUAAAAUGUUGAGCUUCACAAAAUUUCUCAUACAUCGGGCUGACUUUUUCAUCCAAUUUUUCAAGUGCAGUCCAUGAUUCUCCUACACAGUCUUUCAACUUUGUGACUCCUUCUACCCCUUGUAUACAUGUAUUCAUGCAAGUAAACAGGGCAUCUCUGAUUUGGAUUUGUUUUUGAUGAAACGAUAGAAAUUGUUCCCGAAUGUGUCGACACUCAGUAGCCAUGGAGGCUUGCAUGUUUUUGUAACAUUUAUCCAUUUGAGCUGGUUGGUUCACUACAUAGUCAUUCAUGUCAUCACGAGAUUUUGUUAAUUGGAUUUCAAGGUUUUUUAUGCGAUUUUGAAGAUCAGUUAUUGCUUCACGGCGUGCAGUUUCGUUUUCGAUUGCCCAUUUAAUAUGGUCUUUAUGCGCAACUGCUUCGGGAUCUUCCGGAAUUGCAUUUUCUGCGUCCUUGACGAAUUCUUUUUCAUGAUUGAUAGGCGUAAAAUCGUAUAUACGUACGUGACGUUGGCUCUGAGUAGCCACUGAUAAAAUUUGGUGGACGUUUACUUGCUUCGUAAUCUCACUCCCUAUCAUGUUACCAACGUUCGGGUCAUCGUCUAUUUGCAAGUUAAAUGAAGAAUCGUCUACGUUUUCUUGCUCAUUGAUCUGAGGCAUGGUACGUAUAGGUGAAACAUUAGGACCUCCAAAAAGGCCUGACAUUCUUUGAGUGGAAGUAGCAACCGAUUGUUGCAAAUCAUUUUGCAGGUUGUUCAUAAUUUGUUCAUUACGACCUACUUGAUUAGUUGGAUAGAUAAGCUGAUGGCCUUGGGGAGUAGUUUUCGGUAGUUUUUUCGUACGUAAAUUUGUAGCAAUAUUUUUGAGGUGUCUCAUCUGGGGACUUUCCGUGGUGUUAAUUGCUGCAAGUUUUGCCAUUUGUCGAGCGUAAGCCCUUGUGCUUUGAUGAAAACGUGGUUCCACAGGACCGGUAUUCUUACCUUUGUGGGUUGUAGCAGUUGGGUUCGAUUGCCCAGCAGCGUUUUGCUGCAGAUUGCCAUUAUUCGGAACACCAUUUUGGUUUACGACAGGUUGUUGACUAAGUAACAAGGGGUUCGUUUGAAUCAUUGCCGUAAAGAAAUCCGAAGGAGGAUUGUUCUGAUUUGCUUGUGACAUUGCUUGAACAUUCAGUGAUCUAUUCAGAUCUUGCUGAGGUGGGUUGGAAUCCGUCAAGUUUCCUUGUACCGGAACAGUAUGAUUCAAAUUUGGAUUUUGUCCAUUUUGAAUUGGUGGGGUUGUGCCCCAAAUCGAAGGGAUCGGAUGAAAUAAAUGGUAAUUGUUCGGCGGUGCAUUUGCCUGAGGUGCAGUCGGGACUGGAUUCGGAACGAGCAUUUGUCCUGUUGAAGCAGGAGUAGUGCCAGUUUGAUUCACGAAAGGAGUACUUUGAAAGAUACUCGCUUGCCCGUUGGUAGGUCCACCUUGCUGAGUAGGAUGAGGAUUCAUAUUUUCAAAAAUAGAAUCUAACGAGACACUGUAAUUGACUAACGUUGAUGUCUUCCGAUAAGCAGGAUACCAAGUUUAUUGCGUAAAAUUUACGUUUGGCUAACGCCUGUUUUACGAUAAACUAGAUGAUGGAAUUAUUACGAAAUAACACGUUUGGCUAACGUCUGUAUUUACGUAAUAAAUUAACUGCUUGAAUAAUUAAAAUUAUUCACACAGGAACGAGAGAAUAUUUCGAAAUAUUCACUUGAUGAAAAUUGCCUAAGCAACGCUUGAUGAUAACAGAAAUGGAACACCUUCUCAUAGCAGAGAAAAUAAACAUAUGAACUCCGUAUCGUUGCUUAGCUCGCUAGCUAGUACCUUCGAUGAAAAAUAGGUAUAGUGGGAGUAGAUAACCUUCCCCUCCUCUUUGCACUUCGAAAUGAUGUGCUCAGAUGGUCUAGCCUCGUAAUAAUACAAUGUAGCAAUUCGUACGAUAAAUUUUGCAUUACACAAUGUAUUUUA